rnacentral:lncRNA from 1 species
AUGCAGGGGCCGCAGGAGAUGCAGGGGCUGCAGGAGAUGCAGGGGCCGCAGGAGAUGCAGGGGCUGCAGGAGAUGAGAUCCCUUGGCUGCAGGAGAUGCAGGGGCUGCAGGAGAUGCAGGGGCUGCAGGAGAUGCAGGGGCCGCAGGAGAUGCAGGGGCUGCAGGAGAUCCCUUGGCGUGUCGGGGCUUGGGCAGAGGGGCAGGGGACGGUGCUGGCUCUGCCUGGGGGGAGCAGAGCGGGGAAUGGUCUGGGGUGAGGCAGGAGCUAAAGCUGGGCUCGGGAUGCUCCCGGGAUGCUCCCAGGAUGCUCCCGGGAUACUCUCGGGAUGCUCCCGGGAUGCUCCCGGGAUGCUCUCGGGAUGUCCCCGGGAUGCUCUCGGGAUGCUCUCGGGAUACUCUCGGGAUACUCUCAGGAUGCUCCCGGGAUGCUCCCGGGAUGCUCCCGGGAUACUCUCAGGAUGCUCCCGGGAUGCUCCCGGAGCCCGGCCGAGGAUGCUCCCGGGAUGCUCCCGGGAUGCUCCUGGGAUACUCUCAGGAUGCUCCCAGGAUGCUCCUGGGAUGCUCUCAGGAUGCUCCCGGGAUGCUCUCAGGAUGCUCCCGGGAUACUCCCGGGAUGCUCUCAGGAUGCUCUCGGGAUGUUCUCGGGAUGCUCUCAGGAUGCUCCCGGGAUGCUCUCAGGAUGCUCCCGGGAUACUCUCAGGAUGCUCUCAGGAUGCUCCCGGAAUACUCUCAGGAUGCUCCCGGGAUGCUCCCGGAGCCCGGCCGAGGAGGCUCCUCUCGGCACGGCAGUGCUGUGGGUUGCUGGUGCCCUCUGCAGUUGUCCCUCCCAGCUGUAAACGCAAAGGAUUCAUAAUCCGAAGGAACAAUUUUAGGAGUUUUUGGUCCAGGCGAGGGCGGUGGCCCGCGGGUGUCUUCCCGGGUUUGGAGGAGCACCCCGUGCACCCCCAGCAGCUCAACCCCUGUCCCUGUCCCUGUCCCUGCUGCUCCCCAGCUGCUCCUCUGUCACCCCCAGUGUCCCCACAGGCCGAUGGCACCAAAGCCUCUGCCCAGCCCGGGCCGUGGAUGGACACAGAGCCCAGGGCCAGUUAA